UAACACCCCGCCUUUCCAAAACCCGAAAACCCUAAAACCCGAAAUUUAUAUUCCUAACUCGAGAAUCCUUAGGUAAUAUUAUUACGUGAUGAUAUUUAUAUGACUUACGUGAAUUUAAUUAUGUGAAUUAUUUAUGUGCUAUUUUAAUUGGUAGAUUUAUUUUUCUAACAGAUUUAUAGGAAUUAUGUGAAUUAGACUACUAUAUGCUAUAUUGGAUUAAUUAUAUACACUACCAUAUACAUACCCUAUAUAUGUGACUUUACUUGAUAGCAUACAUACAUACAUACAUACAUGGAUUUUACAUGC
rnacentral:lncRNA from 1 species